AGCGAACGCUGGCGGCGUGCCUAACACAUGCAAGUCGAACGUGAAAAGGGAAACCUGAGUAAAGUGGCGUACGGGUGAGUAACGCGUAGGUAAUCUACCCCAGAAUCUGGAAUAACCUGCCGAAAGGCGGGCUAAUACUGGAUAGAGCGAGGGAACUCGUAAGAGAGUUUUUCGGGAAAGGGAGCCCGCAAGGGCCUUCGUUCUGGGAUGAGCCUGCGUCUCAUUAGCUAGUUGGUAAGGUAACGGCUUACCAAGGCGAUGAUGAGUAGCUGGUCUGAGAGGAUGAUCAGCCACACUGGAACUGAAACACGGUCCAGACUCCUACGGGAGGCAGCAGUGGGGAAUCUUGCGCAAUGGACGAAAGUCUGACGCAGCCACGCCGCGUGAGUGAAGAAGGCCUUCGGGUUGUAAAGCUCUGUCGGGUGGGACGAACAUCUUCAUAGUGAAUAGCUAUGAGGACUGACGGUACCAUCAAAGGAAGCACCGGCUAACUCCGUG
rnacentral:rRNA from 1 species